UUGUGAAUUUCGUAGGCUUGUCGACGCAU
rnacentral:piRNA from 1 species